UACGGAGGGUGCGAGCGUUAAUCGGAAUCACUGGGUGUAAAGCGCGCGUAGGCGGCUUUUCAAGUCAGGGGUGAAAUCCCACGGCCCAACCGUGGAACUGCCUUUGAAACUGUAGAGCUUGAGUGUCGGAGAGGGUGGCGGAAUUCCAGGUGUAGGAGUGAAAUCCGUAGAUAUCUGGAGGAACACCGGUGGCGAAGGCGGCCACCUGGACGACAACUGACGCUGAGGUGCGAAAGCGUGGGUAGCAAACAGG
rnacentral:rRNA from 1 species